AGAACAGAGAAAGACAAAACAAAUUUUGAAAUAAGUUACAAAAGCACAAACAUUAUGACGAUCACAUAAAAUUAUAUCCUAAAAGGUACAAUUUAAUUAACUCACAAAAUUUUUCUUUGCAUAGCCAAACAUAAUCUGAAUUUUUUAGUAGUGGUGGACAAUCCUUGUUAUAUCUGCAAGGGAUAUUAGCUGCAUUGUCAAAUAAGAAAAAAGAAAAGUUACUAAGAGGUUUUAUACUAUUGUGUAUAAGAUAAAUUUGAAAAUGGUGUAAAAAAUAACAUACUUUUCAAAUAUUUCUUAUCAGCAAAGGAUUCAACAAAAAACGUAAUAAAAAUGAUGAUCAAAGCAUAAAUAAACAUGUCGAUUUUAGCCAUAUUUUUCUUAUUUUGCAUUUUGUAAAUGAAAUGUUUUUAAACGAUUUAUAUGUAAAAUUUUGCAUGUUUUGUUAUUAAAAAAAUUUACCACUUAGAUCUUGCAAGAAGC
rnacentral:lncRNA from 1 species